GCCCAGGAAGAAGAGAGAAGACAACAACACACUUGUGUUCAUUGUGGAUGUCAAGGCUAACAAAACCAGACCAAACACGCUGUGAAGAAACUCUGACAUUGAUGUGGCCAAAGUUAACACCCUCAUAAGGCCUGAUGGAGAGAGGGUGUAUGUUCACUUGGCUCCAGAU